rnacentral:rRNA from 1 species
AACGAACGCUGGCGGCAGGCUUAACACAUGCAAGUCGAACGCCCCGCAAGGGGAGUGGCAGACGGGUGAGUAACGCGUGGGAAUCUACCUGGAACUACGGAACAACAGAGGGAAACUUCUGCUAAUACCGUAUACGCCCUACGGGGGAAAGAUUUAUCGGUUUCAGAUGAGCCCGCGUAAGAUUAGCUAGUUGGUGAGGUAAUGGCUCACCAAGGCGACGAUCUUUAGCUGGUCUGAGAGGAUGAUCAGCCACACUGGGACUGAGACACGGCCCAGACUCCUACGGGAGGCAGCAGUGGGGAAUAUUGGACAAUGGGCGCAAGCCUGAUCCAGCCAUGCCGCGUGAGUGAUGAAGGCCUUAGGGUUGUAAAGCUCUUUCAGUGGGGAAGAUAAUGACGGUACCCACAGAAGAAGCCCCGGCUAACUUCGUGCCAGCAGCCGCCGUAACAC